rnacentral:rRNA from 1 species
CCUACGGGUGACAGCAGUGAGGAAUAUUGGUCAAUGGGCGCUAGCCUGAACCAGCCAAGUAGCGUGAAGGAUGAAUGCCCUAUGGGUUGUAAACUUCAGUAAUAGGGGAAUAAAGUGCAGUAUGUAUACGGCUUUGCAUGUACCUAAUGAAUAAGGAUAGGCUAACUCCGUGCCAGCAGCCGCGGUAAUACGGAGGAUCCGAGCGUUAUCCGGAUUUAUUGGGUUUCACGGGAGCGUAGGCGGGUUGUUAAGUCAGUUGUGAAAGUUUGCGGCUCAACCGUAAAAUUGCUGGUGAGACUGGCAGCCUUGAGUACAGUAGAGGUAUGCGGCAUUCUUGUUGUAGCGGU